AUGCAGUAGGGCCGAGCUCUUCGAGUGGCCAACGACGUGCGUCGCGACGUAGGUCGCAUUGGUCGCGACGUAGGUCGCAUUGGUCGCUGUGUUGGUCGCUCUUCUGGCUGCCGUUUUCUCGUCCGGCUGCCGUUUUGGUCGCUGGCUGGCUCGGUCGCUCAAAGUCUAUGGGCGGUCCUUAAUCAGUUAAUUUGCAUGUUAUUAACGGGUUUUUUGCGACAGUUGAAGUACCAGAAAGCCAUGCUAUCUGGCGAAAGCUACCUACAGCUCUUUAUUGCUAAUAUUGUUUUAAUAUUUUUAUAUUGAAUUACAGUUUAAAAUGAUGAAAUCGUUGGUCUAUCAGUAUCAAUAAAAUACAUAAGUUGUAA